GAUGAACGCUAGCGGAAGGCUUAAUACAUGCAAGUCGAGCGGUAGGUGGCUUCGGCCAUUGAGAGCGGCGCACGGGUGAGUAACGCGUACAUGACCUGCCUGUCAGAAGGGGAUAGCCCUGGGAAACUGGGAUUAAUACCCUAUGGUAUUGAUAUUAUGAAUGAUAUCAAUUAAAGUUGAGGCGCUGACAGAUGGAUGUGCGUCUGAUUAGCUAGUUGGUAGGGUAACGGCCUACCAAGGCGACGAUCAGUAGGGGGCGUGAGAGCGUGGUCCCCCACACGGGUACUGAGACACGGACCCGACUCCUACGGGAGGCAGCAGUAAGGAAUAUUGGUCAAUGCCCGCAAGGGUGAACCAGCCAUUCCGCGUGGAGGAUGAAGGCCCUAUGGGUUGUAAACUUCUUUUAGAUGGGAAGAAAAUGCUAGAUGUAUCUGGUACUGACGGUACCAUCAGAAUAAGCACCGGCUAACUCCGUGCCAGCCGCCGCCGUAACAC
rnacentral:rRNA from 1 species